rnacentral:rRNA from 1 species
CCUACGGGAGGCAGCAGUGAGGAAUAUUGGUCAAUGGGCGGGAGCCUGAACCAGCCAAGCCGCGUGAGGGAAGAAGGUACAGCGUAUCGUAAACCUCUUUUGUCAGGGAACAAAGGCGGGGACUAGUCCCCGGAUGAGGGUACCUGAAGAAAAAGCAUCGGCUAACUCCGUGCCAGCAGCCGCGGUAAUACGGAGGAUGCGAGCGUUAUCCGGAGUUAUUGGGUUUAAAGGGUGCGCAGGCGGCCUGUUAAGUCAGCGGGAAAAGCCCGGGGCUCAACCCCGGCGAGCCGUUGAAACUGGCGGGCUGGAGUUGGAGAGAAGUACGCGGAAUGCGCGGUGUAGCGGUGAAAUGCUUAGAUAUCGCGCAGAACCCCGAUUGCGAAGGCAGCGUACCGGCUCCACACUGACGCUGAGGCACGAAAGCGUGGGUAUCGAACAGGAUUAGAUACCCCAGUAGUC